rnacentral:tRNA from 1 species
GGGGCCUUAGUUCAGUUGGGAGAACGUUUGACUGGCAGUCAAAAGGUCGCCGGUUCGAUCCCGGCAGGCUCCA